GACGAACGCUGGCGGCGUGCCUAAUACAUGCAAGUCGAACGCAGUGGGGACGGGUGAGUAACACGUGGGUAACCUUCCAUCAGAGGGGAUAACACUUGGAAACAGGUGCUAAACCGAUACUGAUGGAUGGAUCCGCCGUGCAUUAGCUAGUUGGUGAGGGAACGGCUCACCAAAGCCACGAUGCAUAGCCGACCUGGAAGGGUGGUUGGCCCCUAGUGGACUGGUGCUCGUCCCCAACUCCUCCGUGAGGCAGCCGUAGGGGAUCUUCGGCAAUGGACCGAAGUCUGACCUAGCAACGCCGCGUGAGUGAAGAAGGUUUUCGGAUCGUAAAACUCUGUUGUUAGAGAAGCGGUAUCUAACCAGAAAGCCACGGCUAACGACGUGCCAGCAGGCGCGGUAAUAC
rnacentral:rRNA from 1 species